rnacentral:rRNA from 1 species
UACGUAGGGUGCAAGCGUUAAUCGGAAUUACUGGGCGUAAAGCGUGCGCAGGCGGUUGUGCAAGACAGAUGUGAAAUCCCCGGGCUCAACCUGGGAACUGCAUUUGUGACUGCACAGCUGGAGUGCGGCAGAGGGGGAUGGAAUUCCGCGUGUAGCAGUGAAAUGCGUAGAUAUGCGGAGGAACACCGAUGGCGAAGGCAAUCCCCUGGGCCUGCACCGACGCUCAUGCACGAAAGCGUGGGGAGCAAACAGG